AUUGAACGCUGGCGGCAUGCCUUACACAUGCAAGUCGAACGGCAGCGCGGACUUCGGUCUGGCGGCGAGUGGCGAACGGGUGAGUAAUACAUCGGAACGUACCCUGUUGUGGGGGAUAACUAGUCGAAAGAUUAGCUAAUACCGCAUACGACCUGAGGGUGAAAGUGGGGGACCGCAAGGCCUCACGCAGCAGGAGCGGCCGAUGUCUGAUUAGCUAGUUGGUGGGGUAAAGGCCACCAAGGCGACGAUCAGUAGCUGGUCUGAGAGGACGAUCAGCCACACUGGGACUGAGACACGGCCCAGACUCCUACGGGAGGCAGAAGUGGGGAAUUUUGGACAAUGGGGGCAACCCUGAUCCAGCAAUGCCGCGUGUGUGAAGAAGGCCUUCGGGUUGUAAAGCACUUUUGUCCGGAAAGAAAUCGCGCUGGUUAAUACCUGGCGUGGAUGACGGUACCGGAAGAAUAAGCACCGGCUAACUACGUGCCAGCAGCCGCGGUAA
rnacentral:rRNA from 1 species